rnacentral:misc_RNA from 1 species
UGUAGGAGUGAGCCUGCUCGCGAUGGCGGUGUGUCAGUCAAUACACAUGGCGCUGACAGACCGCUAUCGCGAGCAGGCUCGCUCCCACA